ACGACCAGAGGGAUGGAACAGCUCUGCUGGGAGGAAAGGCUGGGACAAUUGGGAUUGUUCAUCCUGGAAAAGAGAAGGGUUUGGGGU